ensembl:lncRNA
CUCUCUCUCUCUCUCUCUCUCUGUUGUCAGGACUGUCUCUCUCUCUCUCUCUCUCUCUGUUGUCAGGACUGUCCCUCUCUCUCUCUCUCUCUCUCUCUCUGUUGUCAGGACUGUCUCUCUCUCUCUCUCUCUCUCUCUCUCUCUCUCUCUCUGUUGUCAGGACUGACUCUCUCUCUCUCUCUCUGUUGUCAGGACUGUCUCUCUCUCUCUCUCUCUCUCCGUUGUCAGGACUCUCUCUCUCUCUCUCCGUUGUCAGGACUGUCUCUCUCUCUCUCCGUUGUCAGGACUGUCUCUCUCUCUCUCUCCGUUGUCAGGACUCUCUCUCUCUCUCUCCGUUGUCAGGACUGUCUCUCUCUCUCUCCGUUGUCAGGACUGUCUCUCUCUCUCUCUCCUUUGUCAGGUCUCUCUCUCUCUCCUUUGUCAGGUCUCUCUCUCUCUCUCUCCUUUGUCAGGACUCUCUCUCUCUCUCUCUGUUGUCAGGACUGUCUCUCUCUCUCUCUCUCCGUUGUCAGGACUGUCUCUCUCUCUCUCCGUUGUCAGGACUGUCUCUCUCUCUCUCCGUUGUCAGGACUGACUCUCUCUCUCUCUCUCUCUCGCUCCGUUGUCAGGACUGUCUCUCUCUCUCUCUCUCGCUCCGUUGUCAGGACUCUCUCUCUCGCUCCGUUGUCAGGACUCUCUCUCUCUCUCUCGCUCCGUUGUCAGGACUCUCUCUCUCUCUCUCCGUUGUCAGGA